ensembl:lncRNA MIR9-3HG MIR9-3 host gene
UAACCGAAAGUAGAAAUGAUUCUCACAACUUCUGCGUGCGAGCGCCCGCCCCACCGACCGCCCCGGCCCGGCCCGCAAGAGCCAGAGGAGCCGAGAGGAGCCCAGCGCCGGCCCAGCGGACUCCAGCUCGACGGAGCGGCCGCGCCCCGACCAGUUACUCCCCUGCUGGUGCCUCCCUCCUUGGCGCGCUUCCCACCUGCGAUCGGCGCCCUCUUCGCAGUCACGAACUCGCCAGCAGCUAGCAGCACUGACUAGUAGGAGGGCCCGCCGGAGGAGAGGACAUGCUCUGGAGUCAGAAGACAGCGAAAAGAGAAGCAGAAGCCCCGGUGGCAAGAGUCUGAAGCAGGAAGGAUGACUGUAGCCUGUGGAUUGUACUGCAGUAGGAAACUGUCCUAGCAAGGCUCCACUUUGCCCCAGCUUCAAGCUGGAAAGGAGGAGAACAUGAAACAUUGCUUGAAGACAAUGGCCGAGACAGCAGGUCCCACCCUGCACAGCCACCAGCAUCUCUCCCCUCAGCCCUGUCUCCUCUUCUGCAGUUGGGAUCUGCACAUUUAAGCCUGAAAUUGUCCUGUGAAGUGAAGUAUGAUCGGACAGCCUCUUUUCAGCUUUUAUGACAAUGGAGACAGAGGAAUUGUGGCUCUUGCCAAGGUCACAGGAUUGGAAUACAGAGCCAAGCCACCCCAGGACAUGCAAGAGCCUCAGAAGGGAAAAAAGCCCAGCAGGAAGGGAGAACAAGUAGCCUCUGUCCUGAAGUUGUAACAGCCAGGGGCCAGGAUGGAGGAGGAGGACCCCAUAAUCUGCCCAUCUGGGACUUGGCAGGGGACCUGGGAAAAUGUACCCCAACCCAUCCCUUAAGGGCCUUUGUCUUUGGCCCAUUGGCCUAGCAUCUACUUCUUCACCGUGUCUGUUCUUGUCACACCUAGUCAGGUCUGUUUGGGUCUGAGGUGCAUGGAACAUUCUGGGUAGGCCUCCAGCAAACGGAAGCUCUUCACCGUGUUUCCAGCCUGGGACCAAGGGCAGCAUACUGGCAAAGUUGCCAAAGCAAGGGACUCCAGCCUCUUAGGAGUUAAUGACUCCCUCUCCCCAGCUGUCCUCCCCUUGGUGCUCCUCUUCCUCCCUCCUCCUGCUCACAGCAGGCAGGGCCUAGACCCGGGAGCCAUGCUGCUGUGCUGUUGCCAGGGGAGCACGGAGGCAGAUCUGAGCUAUGCAGGGAAAAGGCCCAGCCUGUCAAAGUGUCUGAGAUGAACCGCCGCCGUCCCUGUGCAGCUGGGCUCAGACGUGUCUCAGCUCUUGUUCUGUGCCUGAGAAUGGCGAAACCCAGUGAGGUUCAAGGGCAAACUCGCUAUUCAUUAGUCAGGGGUUCUUGACGUCCCGUCUCUCCCAGGGAUGAGUUCCCCCCUCCUCUUUCUCCCCCUCCUAUGACACAUUCCUGGGUGCCUUUGGUGAGGACUGCACACCCUCCUCCUGCCUAGCCCCCUCUCCAAAGGCCCCUGAAUAAACUCCCCCCAAGGAGACCAGGCAGGGCAGAGACAAUGGCUGCAGGAAAUCAUUCAGGCGGGACAUGCUGGCCUGCCCUCCACCCAGUCCCCCUGUGGGCCCCACUCCCUUCUGAUUCAGGGCACCCUUGGGCCCCCAGCCUAUACAGGCCUGGACAGGAAGAAACCACUGGGAACCACCCUAAGGACAACAUGCUAGUCCAGUGCCAUUCUUCGCUGGCUCUGUGGGUGCCUUUGUGGCCUGUACCGACUGGCUGGCUAAUUUUGUGGUUUCUGUACCAUCACAUGCCUAUUUUAAGACACUCUCCAGCACUGUCGGUUAGGGAGUGUAAAUUUUGCAAUAUUUUCUGAAAUGUGGCAAUAUCAAAAUGUAAAAGGCACACAUACUUGGUCACAAACAAAUGGCACUAUUUACUCUGUGGGCAUAUUUGUAAAAGUUGCCAAAGAAUUAUAUACAAGGAUGUUCAUCAGAGCAUUUCUUUUGAAGAGUAAAGAAAUGGACAUGAACCUGUGGUCCGUUCAUACGGUGGAAUACCUAUGCAGCUGUAAAAAUCAGUGUGGUAGAUCUCCGUAUAUGAGUUGAUGUGGAAGGUUGGCCAGUUCACAUGAUAAGGUGAAUAGAAUAAGUUACAGAACAGGCUGUAGAGUAUGAUCUUAUUUGUAGAUGUUUAAAACUGAGUCAUAAGUAUGCUUAUAUACAGAUCGUUUCUGGAAGUAUGUACUGGAAGUCUACCUCUGGGGAGUGGGGAUGGGGGAGUGCACUCUUCUAUACUGUUAUAUUUUCUUUUCAUGCUCCUAAGGUACUUUUAUUGGAAGAUGUAAAGCGGUUCAAUGUAAUAGGCUUAACUUCUGUCAACUAAGUUGGCGUGGGUGCUUUAAGAGGGUGGUAGUGAUGUUGCUGGAGAAAGUAUCCCACAGUCACUGGUGGCUUCAGCCACGGGCCAUUUUGGGGCCUAAUAAUCACAUAUCAUCAUGGUUGCUAGUGUUAAUCGAAAACCUACUAAGUGCCAGGCUUACUGUCUCUGGGUCUUGCUUACGUGGAUGUCAUUUUUCCAGUUGCACCAAAUCGAAAGAGGUUAAUUGGUUUGUUGGAGUUCCUUUGUAGGUGAAGGGCAGAGCCAGGAGCUUGGCUAGGGACAGGGGAGGUGAGUGGGGGAUGGUGGAUAGGUCUUGGCUCCCAGUUUCCUUCUGGGCAGACAUUGCCCCUCUGCCCUGAGGACCUGCUUGUUUGGGGGAAGAGGCCUUUAGAGGCACCAGGGUCAUGCCAGGUGUUGGACAUGGUGAACUGGGAAGUGCUCCCAUCUGGCCACAGCGCAGAAGUAUCACCGUGCUGGGGGAUGGGGAACAGGGCUGUGAAUGGGCCUAUUUGCAUAAGCAGCAUGUGUCUGGAGAGAAAGACAUCACAGAGCAGAAGAGUGCGGGUGCCCAGGAGUGCACUUGCCACCCCUACUUCAUCCCUGAAAGAGUAAAUGGCCUGGAAGGUGUCUCUGAGAGGUAAUGCCGCACACCACCCUCCCUGGGGGCAGGGUCAGGCUACACCUGCCUUAGGUCGGGGGCUGCAGCAGCCUGAGAGCUCUCAGUAGGGCCUCAGUAGCCUGGGAGGGAGCAGGGGCAGGGGGCAGGGAAAGAGGCGUAAUGGGGCUGUCCAGAGGGGCCUGGGAAACCUGGUCCCUGAGGCCUGGGCACAGCUACAAUCACUUCAAAUUGGCUGUGGGGCCAGUGGACUGGGAAGGAAAAAAGCAAUAAGAGUGACCAAGUGCAGAAGGCUGUCAGGUCCCAGGUCACAUGCCUUAGUGCAGUGACUCCUCAUCAUUUUAUGGGGUGUGGGUGUCGUUGGUACACCCAUUUUACAGAUGAGGACACCGAGGCCCAGAAAAGUUAAGUUACAUGUCCUAAGUCACACAGCUUGUAAGUGCCAGAACUGAGAUCAAAACCAAGUCUCUUUGACUUUAAAGUCUGUACUCUGACCCCAAAGAGAUCCUGUUUGGCCACUUAUAGGAGGUCCCUAAAGCUGCAGACUCCCCUUGCCGGCACCCACAUAUAGAGACAUUAACCCUUCCCCUGCAGGGUCACCUCAAAUAGUCUUUUAGCUGGGCUUCUCCUGCAAUUCCACCUAAUGCCAUCCCCUGGGUUUUGCCCAAACCUGAACUGGGCAGUGGGGUGAGAGGAGGGGUUUACAGGGUUACAGAGCCUCAUACAGAUAGGAGCCCAUGGCUGCUGGUCAUCUGCAUUCCUGCAGGAUUGGCUGUUCCUUGGGGUCCUUGGCAGGAAAAUGAGGAUUGCUCCGAGGCCUGCUCCAGUACUUCCCAGAGGCUGGCCUGGUGUGGGGCUCUGGGAAGGCUGAGGCUGGAGAAGCGUAAGUAGGAGGGCAGAGAUGGCACUCAGGUAGCUUGAAUCACCAGGACCCUUCCAAGCCCCACAGGUUCUGAGGGAGUACUAGGGCCAGCUCUGGGAGAGGUCUCUUCCUAUGCUGUGAACCCCCUGCCUUUCUUGCAGCCUACAACGAAUAAAUUUUCUUUGCAA